rnacentral:rRNA from 1 species
AGUCGAGGGGUAGCAGGAUGUAGCAAUACAUCGCUGACGACCGGCGCACGGGUGAGUAACGCGUAUGCAACCUACCUUCUACAGGGGCAUAGCCCGGAGAAAUCCGGAUUAAUACCCCAUAACACAGGGACUCCGCCUGGAGAUAUUUGUUAAAGAUUAAUCGGUAGAAGAUGGGCAUGCGUUCCAUUAGCCAGUUGGUGAGGUAACGGCUCACCAAAGCAACGAUGGAUAGGGGAACUGAGAGGUUUAUCCCCCACACUGGAACUGAGACACGGACCAGACUCCUACGGGAGGCAGCAGUGAGGAAUAUUGGUCAAUGGGCGCGAGCCUGAACCAGCCAAGUCGCGUGAAGGAAGACUGCCUUAUGGGUUGUAAACUUCUUUUAUAUGGGAAUAAAAAGAGUUACGUGUAACUUAUUGCAAGUACCAUAUGAAUAAGCAUCGGCUAACUCCGUGCCAGCAGCCGCGGUAAUACGGAGGAUGCGAGCGUUAUCCGGAUUUAUUGGGUUUAAAGGGUGCGCAGGCGGUCCAUUAAGUCAGCGGUGAAAUCUAGAGGCUCAACCUCUAAACUGCCGUUGAAACUGGUAGACUUGAGUAUAGAUGAAGUAGGCGGAAUUCGUUGUGUAGCGGUGAAAUGCAUAGAUAUAACGAGGAACCCCGAUUGCGUAGGCAGCUUACUAAACUAUAACUGACGCUCAG